UUAACUAUUAUAUAGUACUCAGACAACACUAAUAUUCAGAGUUUGGGGUCCUCUGGCAGGCACUUACCAGCUAAAGCCGGUAGCCGAAGCGGCCUACCAAAGCAACAAAGGUAUAGUAUUCAAGGGUGGGAGAUCUACCCGAUAGGGCAUGAACUCUGUAAUGAUCCUUCCGCAGGUUCACCUACGGAAA
rnacentral:misc_RNA from 1 species